UCAGCAAUAUAUUUACAAGUAGUCAACCAGAUUAUACAGAUAUCAGCAAUCUUCCUCAAUGUGUUUUUCAACAUCUUCCUCUUCUGUCUUCCAGUAUCAUCAAUUCCAAAGUUGGCUUUUUACCAGUAUGCAAAGUGGGCAGUGAUAAUGUACUAGCAGUUUUAGUGUAUGUUUGCAAGGAAAUCAAUGAGUCAGUUAAAACCAGGCUACAUCAAGUCAUACAACAGG